GCUAAUUCCUCGCAGCACGCAGGGGAUGUGGCCGCAGUCCCACCCCCAGUCCCACCCCCACCAGGCCCAGCCCCCGUGGGGACCGGCAGCUCCCGGCCCAGCCCAGGGCCCCCAAAGCACAGGGGGAGCAGGAGCUCUCCCGGGCCUGACAGACUCUGCCGUGCAAAAGCCCGGCUCAGGACGGGGUUGCAAAGAAGGGCGCGAGAGGAAAAGCCCGCUCCGGACACUGCGCUCCAACCAGGAGGAGCUGGAGGAGGAGGAGGAUGAACAAAAUGGCCGCCGCCACCAGCCAGGCAGGAAACGGGGCAGAGCGCAGGCGCGGCCCGCCAGGUCACCGCUCAGGCCAGCCGCGACGGCCUGAAAAAGCGGAGAACUGAGUGGGGAACAAAAGGGGCCACUGAGGAAACCUCGUGCCCGGUCACGACGGAUCACGUCGUCGUUACUCGCCGGCUGGCUAGCGAAACCCAGCCAGCUCAAGAAGAACUCGAGAAAAAAGAGAACCGCCGUAAAACUGAAGUCUCUGGGAAUUGUGGUCCUGGAAAUGAGAGAGGUAAGCACUUCCCCGGAGGACUUCUGGGAACUGUAGUCCUGAGGAGCCGGAGCCGCUCUGGGAAGCGAAGAAGAGACUUCUGGGUAGUGUAGUCGUACGUGAGACGUGCGGCGACCAGGAAGUCGGCGUGCUGGGAGGGGAGGGAGAGAAUAAAAGCGACGUUGAAAGGCAGGGAAUCGAGCUGGGAAAAAGCGGCGUCGGAGAAGUAGACUGCAAGUCCCAUAGUGCCUCGCGCUGGGGGCUGUCCUAGGACUGCUUCAGGCAUUUUAAGACUCUUCUGUUGGCUCAGCGUGGGCUGCUGCUCCGCCUCUGUCCAGCCCAAGAGCGGUAUCUUCAACUGCGGCUAAUUCCGUGCUCUGGCUCCGCGUGGCGUCCAAGCCCGCAGGCCUUUCUGGCCCUCCUCUAUUCAUCAAAACCGCCCGCCCGCGGUCGCCAACUGCCGCCCCGCGCGACGGGCGGAGGGGCUGGGGGGUUCCUCCGGCCCAGCGCUGAGCUGGAAGCUGCGCUCGCCGGGGCCCCUCCGGCUUUCUCAACAGCCCGCCGAUUCCUCCUCUGGGCUUGUUUUCCCGCAAAUAGGUAUUCUACCCUGGGUAGACGGCUUCUUCAUUCGUUAUCUCAUCGGAUAAGGGGGUCAAAAGAGCAGCCCUCCACUAAAAUGACUCAUCGAGUUGGUGUAAAGAGGGCGAUAAUGCCCUUCUGCCCCUCAUUUAGUUAUUAGAGUGAGUCUUUGGGCAGAGACGUGCACAGACUUAAGGCUGUGUUUACAGACAUCCAUCCAUCCAUCAUAUGGACGGGGAAUGAAGUCUUGCUCGAGUAUGUGGGAAACCCCGUUCAAACUGGCUACGUAACCUUGUAGAAUUUGUUUUUUUCACCGGCGGCAGUUCACCCUACGCUCCCACUCCUUCACCCCACCCCCAAGCGUCUUUGGGAGAAUGCUUUUGAGCUCGUACCCCCUCUUGUAGGUUAGUGAAGUGAAGGAUUAUAACGGCGAAGAAAGAUUUUUCAUCCUGUUGCCAGAGCUAGAAGGUCCCAGGUAAACUGUGCCUUGAGAGUUGGUUUUAUAAACACUACCACUGACUCCUAAUCCUGUGAUGGGGGUCAACCGUGCAGCAAAAACGUUGUAAUGUCAAUAUGGGGAGGAAGAAGUGGGGGGUUCAACCUGGAAGGCUUCAUAAGACCUUGAGAAGAGAGUUGAGCCCCCUGAGUCAAUGGGAACGUCAAGGGGCACCGAGGCCAGGACCCAUGGGUAAAAAAAGUGUAUGGGUUUGGUGGGGGGAGAAGUGGGGGAAGGCAUGGAGUAGGAAUCUGGAGAGCUAAGUUAGAAAGGUGGGCAACGGUUUUAUAGCACCAUGUUGUUAAAGAUGGGUACCAGGCUGAGGAGUUUGGGGCUUUGUCUCCCAAUCAAUGAGGAGCUAUUCAGAGGUUUUAUUUUUUUUAAUUGAACCGACGUCCAGAGCUGUAACCAUCAUCAUCCAAUUCAUCAUUGAUCCACGCCCACUGUGUUAAUUUCCUAUUGUUGCUGCCACAAACUUAGGGACUUAAAACAGGACUAUAUUGGGAGUUCCCAUCGCGGCUCAGUGGUAAACAAAUCCGACUAGGAACCAUGAGGUUGCGGGUUCGAUCCCUGGCCUUGCUCAGUGGGUUAAGGAUCCGGUGUUGCCGUGAUCCUAGCUGUGGCUCUGGCAUAGGCUGGUGGCUACAGCUCCGAUUGGACCCCUAGCCUGGGAACCUCCAUAUGCCAUGGGAGCGGCCCAAGAAAUGGCAAUAAGACAAAAAAUAAUAAAAUAAAAUAAAAAAACAAAAAAAAACAGGACUAUAUUAUUUUAGAGUUCUGGAGGUCAGAAGUAUGAAAUUAGUUUCACUGAACUAAAACCAAGAUGUUGGCAGGGCUGGUUCCUUCUAAAGUCUUUGGGAGAAUGGGCUUCUUGCCUUUUCCAGCUUCUAGAAACCGUCUGCAUUCCCAUCAUCUUCAAAAACAGCAGCAUGGCAUCUUCUUUCCUCUCUGACCUUUCUGCCUCUCUCUCUGUGACUGAUCCUCCUUCCUCCCUCUUUGACUUCAUGAGGACCCUUUGUGAUCACAUGGGGCCAGGAUAACGUCCCAUUUCUCUGAGACAUUCAAUCAUGUUAGCAAAACCCCUUUUACCAUAACCUAAUGAGUACACUGGUUCUGGGGAUUAGAGCAUAGACAUCUUGGGGGGGGGUGUCAUUAUUCAGUCUACCACUCCUGCCUUCAUUUAGUUUGUUACUUUUUUAAAAAUGCAAUAAUAGCUGUGAGCCCUCCACCCUAAAAAAAAAGUUCUUAGGGACGCAGUUUAGUCUAACUCUUGGGUUUGCUCACACACACACUCUCUCAUCCUCCUGCCUCCCCUCACCUGGGUUCACCAUCAUGCUGAAUUCUGAAUUUAGCAUUUCUUGUUUUUCUUUUUACAGAGUUUUAUUCUCUAUAUAUGUAUAUACAUAAUUUUUUCCCCAAAAAGUGUGUGUGUAUACACAUGUAUUUUUGAGGGGUUUUUUUGGUAUAAUAAAAAAAGGGUAUGUCCAUUACGUACUUAUUAGGAUGGCCAAAAUCCCAGACCCUGACACCACCAAAUGCUGGGGAGGAUAAAAAGCAACAGGUACUCUCAUUCCCUGCUGGUGGGAAUGCAAAAUGGUGUAACCACUUUGGAAAAUAUUUUGGCAGUUUCUUACAAAACUAGUCAUAGCUCCUAGGUAUCUCAAAUGAGUUGAAACUUAUGUUUGCACAAAAACCUGCACAUGAAUGUUUAUAGCAGGGUUUAUUUAUUUAUUUGGCCACACCCAUGGCAUGUGGAAGUUCCUGAGCCAGGGAUCAAACCCACGCUUCAGCUGCCACCUGCGUCACAGCCACAGCCAUGCCAGCUCCUUAACCAACUGCACCACUGGGGGACUUCCUAUAGCAGGUUUCUUAGUAACUCAAAAUUUGGAAGCAACCAAAAUGUCUUACAGUAAGUGAAUGGGCAAACUAGUACAUCCAGACAAUGGGCUAUUAUUUGGUGACAGAAAUAAAUGAACUAUAAAGCCACAAAAAGACAUAAAUGCACAUUGCCGAGUGGAAGAAACCAGUGUCAAAAGGCUACGAACUGUAUGAUUCCAACUGGGUGACAUGCUGGGAAAGACAAAAACUAUGGGAAAGGGGAAAAGAUGAAUGGUUGCUAGAGGUGGGGCUGCGUAGGUAGAGCACAGGGCAUUUUUACAGAGGUGAAACUACUCUGUGUGGUACUGUAAUGAUGGAUCCCAUAGAAUGUACAUCAUGAGUCCUAAUGUGAACUAUAGACAAUAAUGUAUCAACACUGGUCCAUCCUUUGCAACAAAUGCACCACAUAAAUGCAAGGUAGUAAUAACAAGAAAAACAGCAUGUGUGGUGGAGAGAGGAUGGCUUGGAACUUUAUCCUUUCUUUGUAAUUCUUCUGUAAACCUACAACUGCUCUAAAAGUCAAGUCUGUUUAAAGGGGAAAAAAUGCCUUUGCAUCUUUUUGGACUCUCUUCACCCUCCGUAACAUGCAGAAGAUUCAGCCAUAUUUUAUGUAUUUAGUUCAUUCAUUUUCACUAUUGUGUGCUAUUCCAGUGUGUGAUCAUAGCACACUUUGUCUGACUUCUCAUGAAUGGACAUUUGGGCUGCCUCCAGGUUUUUACUGUUGUGAGCAGUGCUGCUAUGAACAUUCCUGUACUCUUCUGUUACAGAUGUACAUGAGCUCUCUUUGGUUUAUUCAAGUCUGUACCUAAAAGUAGAAUUGUUGAGUCAUGGGGUAUGUGAGUAUUCAAUUUUAGAAGAUAACGUCAAACAUUUUUUCCAAAGUGGAUACCUGGAUUUGUGCUCCCAUUAGCAUCAUGUAGGAGGGCUUAUAAGGGGACCCACGUCCUCCUCAACACUUGCUUUUGUCAGACUUUUUACAUUUUUAUCAAUCAAAGUGUUAGCUCAGUGUGGUCUUAAUCAGUAAGAUUGAGCAUUUCUUCAUAUUUUAUUAGCUCUGUGUGUUCCCUCUUUUGAAAAAUGCCUGUUGGUAUCUUUUGCCUAUUUUUCUUUUGGGUUAUAUGUGCUUUUCUCAUUGAUUUUAAGGAAUUCUUAAAGCUAAUCUUGUGUACUGCAGUUAUCUUCUCCUAAUUUGUAACUUGCCGCUCUAAAUGCCUUUAAUGAAAAAAGUACUUAAUUUCUUUUUUUAGUACUUAAUUUUAAAGGGUCAAAUCUAUUUGCUGUGCAUGUGUAUCAUUUAAGAAAUAUUUCCCUACCUCAAGGUUUAAAUUACAGAUCUAGGUCUAAAUUAAGUAUCUAAAAGAUACUUAAUCCAGGAGUUCCCGUCGUGGCACAGUGGUUGACGAAUCCGACUAGGAACCAUGAGGUUGCGGGUUCGAUCCCUGGCCUUCCUCAGUGGGUUAACGAUCCGGCGUUGCCGUGAGCUGUGGUGUAGGUUGCAGACGCGGCUCGGAUCCCGCGUUGCUGUGGCUCUGGCAUAGGCCGGUGGCUACCGCUCCGAUUCGACCCCUAGCCUGGGAACCUCCAUGUGCCGCAGGAUCGGCCCAAGAAAUAGCAAAAAGACAAAAAAAAAAAAAAAAAAACAGAUACUUAAUCCAUAGAGUCUACUAAAAUUUUAAAACUUAGUGUUUGAAAUUUAAGUCAUUAAUCUACCUGGAGUUAAAUUUUAUACAAAUGUAGGGAUCCAAUUUCAUAUUUUUCCAUGUGCAUAACCAUUAUUUUUAAACUCCAUUUUUGAAUAGUUCCAUUCAAUCUUUCCCAAUUGAUCUGACAUGCUCCUCUUGUCUUUGUGUAGUCUGGGUCCUCUAAGAGGAUAGCAAGAUAGAAUUAGAUGUGCAAGAGAUGCAUUGAAAGGAAACUCUUGGGGAGGAUAAAAGGAGGAAAUAGGCAAGAAUCCACAAUACAGGCUGGACACUUGUGCAAAGAGGGAAAGGAGGAAGGAAGAUUGGCUAGAAAUUGUCUCCAACUUGGUGCAGCUCUAAGAAAACCUUGGGUAGGCCAUUGGGGACCCCCAGAGCAAAGGUUACCUAUUAGAGGAGUCCUAUGUCAUUCAGAAAUGGCCUGGCUGCUGCACCCCAACUGUCUCAGUCACUGGCUGAAAGCAGCUUUGGGAGAGAGCUUGCUCUCUGCAUGAACACUUCAGUGAAUAUAAAGUUACUGUCUUCUAAGCUGGACAAGAAAGGCCUGGAGGCUGUCCACUAACUGUACUCCCAACAGCAGGUUCUCUUGGAGGGGGAUCUGAGCAGGGCACCAGAGCCUUAUGCUAGAGUUUCAGAUACUCACAGGUUUUUUUUCUGGGCCCUCUAGUCUAUGCCUAUGUCAAUAAAAAGCUAUUAUCUUCAUAGGAGUUUGAAUCAUGGUAGAGUCAGUUAGCCUUCCUGCUUUUCUCUAGAAAUGUCCUGACUAUUCUUGGUCUUUUAUCCUUCCGUAUAUACUCAGAGGUUUUAAGCAGGGGAGUAAUAUCAGAUCUGUUCUGUAGCAGGAUGUGUGGAUUAUCAUAGGGAUGAGAGAUUUCAGGCUGAGAGGGCUUCUGGAACGUAAUUUCAAUAGUCCAGGUAAGAGAUAAGGAAUUACAAGUUGAGCGGAUUUAGGCAGUAACAGUGAAAAGAGACCAAGUUAUGGAUACAACAUAACAGAGAGGCAGAAGGGUGGGAGAAAGGGAAAACUGAGUUAACUCCCAUGUUAAUGGCUUGACUGUCUGCCCAGAUUAUGGGGUCUUUGAGUCAGGAAAUACAAGAAGAGGCAUUUGCACUUGCAAGGCUUUGCACUUGCUCAUCGUGAAUGUAUUUAAAGCUUCACAGUGUUCAAAUAGACAGGUCUAGAGCUUGUUUAGGGACCCAGACUGGCUUUGGGAGGAAUAAAUCUGUAGGUGCAACUGAAGUCUUAGGUGUGAGAAAGUGUCACCAGGGGAGGGAGUGGAAGACAGGAGGGUUGAGAAUCUGAGAGGACACUCACGCAUAUGGAAGAAUCAGAGGUAGAGAAACUACUUUUAAAAACCUGAUGAAGAAUAAUCAAAAGGAAAGUCUGCUCUCCAAAACCUGUUAGGAUGGCUAUUAUCAAAAAAUGCCAAAAACCGGAAACAAAAAAUAGCAAGUGUUGGCGACCAUGUGGAGAAAUUGGAACCCUUGUUGUGCACUGUCGAUGGGAACGUAAAAUGAUGCAGCCACUGUGGAGAAGGGUAUGGCAGUUCCUCAAAAUAAAAACAGAAUUACCAUAUGGCCCAGCAACUUCACUUUUGAAUAUAUAUCCCAGGAAUUGAAAGCAGGAUCUCAAAGAGACACUGUACACCCAUGUUCAAAGCAGUAUUAUUCACAGUAGCCAAAAAGUGGAGACAAGCCAAGUGUUCACUGAUGAAUGAAUGGAUAAACCAAAUGUAUAUAUGCAAUGGAAUAGUAUUCAGCUUUAAAAAGGAAGGGCGUUCUGACACAUGUACAACAUGGAUGAGCCUUAAAGAAAUCAUGCUAAGUGGAAUAAGCCAGUCACAAAGGACAAGUAUUGUAUGGUCCCACUUAUAUGACGUCCCUAGAAUAGUUAGAUUCAGAGGGAAAGAAGGUAGAAGGGUGGUGGCUGGGGGCUAGGGGAGGGGGUGGAGAGCUAUUUAAUGGGCAGAGGGGUUCGGGUUGGGAUGAUGGAAAAGUUCUGGUGAUGAAUGGUGCUGAUGGUGAGGGAUGGUUGCACAACAAUAUGUAAGCACUUAAUGCCACUGAGCUGUACACUUAAAAAUGGCUAAGAUGGUAAAUUUUAUGUGUAUUUUACCACAAUCUUUUACAAAGGAUCUGAGCGAUGGGGAGUUCCCUGGUGGUCUAGUGCUUAGGACUCAGCACUUUCACCUCUGUGGUCUGGGAAUGGAGAGUCUACAUCAAGCCACUGCAUGCCGGUGCCAAAAAAAAAAAAAAAAAAGUCCAAGAGAGAUUUAUUCAAGAUGAUGAUGAAAUGUAAUGAAUACUUAAUUUGUUUGAUCUCUUUUAAAGGAGAGCAAACAACUGAGGGAGAACUGGGGAAGGUGUUAAUCACAAGCACGUGGAAAACCACGUGAAGAGAAAAUAAGACAUUUACCAGCUCCUUAAAAGGAAACCUGUGUAGGAAAGGAGAAUUAUAUUGUAUUAUUUGGCUCAGCUGUGCAUAGCAUUUCCAUGGCCGUAAUAAUAAAAGCAUUGAAUAUUGAUGACAGGGAAUCUGCAUUUGUGCAGUAAAGGAGGGGUGAAAGAGAGAUAAAGCCUUUUAGAGUGGGAAGUCACUAGGUAAUACCUAAAAUUGAGGAACCAGGAAAUGGCAAUAAAGUCAAGCUAUUUAAAGAUAGGGAGGUAAAUACUAAAUAUUCAGUUGAGUUAAAAAUGAAUGAUUCUGGAAACAAGAAAUGGGAGAGUUUCCAGGAGGGAAUUUCUGGUUUUCCUCAUAGGCCCUAUAGAUUCUGAUUCUUUAAACUCUGUAUAUAGAUCUGAUAAAGAUUAGAAUUAAUCUAAAAAAAAAGAAAGCAUCACUGUAGUUGCUCUAGUGGAAAAACAUACCCUCCUCCACUCAUAGUAGGCUUCAGACCUGAGAGUGCCCUCUAAAUGAUUAAAGGCCCUACUUUUCGUAAAACCACACGAAACAAAUGGCAAAAAAAAAAAAA